rnacentral:tRNA from 1 species
UGUGAUGUAACUUAGUGGUAAAGUGCCUGCCUAGAAUGCAUAAGGCCCUGGGUUCAAUCCCCUGUACUGAAA